rnacentral:lncRNA from 1 species
AAAAGAAAAUGCGUUGUGUAAUGUUACAUGCGUACAGCUAAUAGAAUUCGUGUUUUCAGAUGACAGCACAAGAUGUUUCUGCGAUGAUGCAAUCGGACAAAAAAGCAUCAUCUUCCAAAUAUACAAUGGUGGAUACACCAUAGAAGUUGAAAUCCAUGGCAGGCCUUACAAUGUAAUCAAGAACUGUAACUACACAGGUUUAGUUGAUGCUCUCCAUAAUGGACAUGGAAAAUGCUGUACAAAAAGGUCAGAGUGUUCAAUUCCUAACUGUGGGAUUGAUUAGUGAAAUUGAGAGCAGUAGAUUCAUUAACCACCUUCUUCUUCUUCUUCUUCUUCUUCUUCUUCUUUAAGGAUUACCUGUAUGGUUUUUAAGGGAAAAAAACAAAUAAAAUUAGCGCAAGAAUAGUUUUUAAGGGAAAAAAAAAUUGAGAGAGACAGAGACUUGUGAAUGUUUCUUUUUUGUUUUUGCCUAGCCACCCACCGAUUUGGAAGGUGAUAUUUUACCUUCUCACACGUGAAGUAAAAAACUAUACAAACUACUAUUUGCAAGGCAAUCAUGCUUACUUAAGCCAGCCAUUAAUGGAGGAGACUUUUAUAGGAGAACAAUGACAGAAAGCACCAAUAAUACAGUAGAUAAAUACAAGACACAGAACUUCCUUUGGUCUUCGGGCAUCAAUAUAGUUCACAAAUGAAUUGCCCAUCAAGAUCUUGUGGCUCAAAUCAUGCUAUUAUAAACAGGACACAUUUUGCCCACACCAUCCUUCCAACGCUUCUCAAGUCAUCAGCAAGUAAUAGGGAAUUCGAUUUACGAACCAAUGAUGGCUAUGGGGCCUCCUAAAAAAAAAGAAAAAGAAAAAGAAAAGCUGACUUGAAGAAAAUCAAAGCAACACCAAGCUCCUGCAGCUCCUGGUCGGACUACUUUUUCUCUUAACGUUGAGGCAGAAGUACAUUAUAGUGAUUGCGCUUAGAUGUUCCUUUCUAUUACUGUAGAAUUGUCUUACAAAGAUUUUUAUCAGGAUCCCUCAUAAACCCGGUACAUCUUCUCCGGUCUCUACCAAAAUGGUGAUAUUCUAACAUUCUCCAUCUCUUCAACUACCACAGGAAAUAAAACUUCACCAUCAGAGAUAUUCUUUACUUUUAACUCGUAUAAUCGCUAAUUUAACCCUUGUAACAUUUUACAAUCAACGCCUCUGAGAGGGCAAGCUACUUCAGGAAUAAAACCUGUAGACAUACUGUAUCAUGACAUAGAACCAAGGCCUACGAAAGGGCAGGCUACUUCAAGAACAAAACCUGAAGCAUAGCUGCCAUCCAUUUUCCUUUAAAAGUAAGGGGAAAAAAAACAAAGUAAAAGACGAAAAACUUAUUCUGGUAGGCUGUAUUUAUCAUUGCCUUUUCUUUUCUUUAAUGAACUACUGUCGGCAUCUUUACUGUGCUUCAUUUCCCAGCUCUUUUUUACUUUCCACGUUGCUUAACAAGCAAAGAAUAACAAACGCAAUGCAGUGCGAUCAAGACCUCUAGAAAAGUUCAUGGAGAUCAACACGAGAAGAAUUCAGAAUUGAAACCUGGUUUGACCUGAUAGUUCCACCAUCCCACUCUGGGGCUUACACAUGUACAAUGGAGAGUAGAAAAGGAAGUUCACACAUGGGCAGUUGGGAGUUUGCAAUCAGUCAUAUCUCAAUUGCUGCUUCGUGCUAUGCCUCACAGCACAACGUGCAAGAUAUGCAAGUGAUGUUAUAACUUGGAUUGAUGAAGCCUAACAGCUUAUGCCACAGCAAGAAAAUGGAAUUCUAUCAGGAUGUCAAGGGUAAAUGAACUUCAUAUACAAUCAAUAAUGCGAAAUAAAAUAGAGGAAAGAGUUAAAUUUGACCUGAGAAUUUAAUGUUGCACCUAACAUAACUUCCUAGGGACAACUAUAGCCAGCAAAUCAAAGAAAACUCCUCACCUACACUGCAAAUUGCAAAAGAGGGAAGUAUAACAAAUCACAAUUUCUGGUUCACAAAAAGUCAGAAAUACCCUGCCCAGGAUACCAUGUUCGGCAUGCCUGGAGUGCCAUUUCUAAGCAUACUAAGGGGUAUUCUAUUGAGCAUCACUCUUCAGGCUUAGGUGAGAAUACCUUGCUUCAAAAGUAAGAUCAUUAAAUAAAAGGGGAAGGAUCUAGCUAUUGAAUGCGACUCCAAUCUUCUUCUGUUAUUAUUUUGAUGAAAGCAGAACGAGAGAGUAAAAUGCGGAAAGAAGAGGAUGAAUCAUUGAUCAUCUACCUCAAGAAAGAAGUCGAAGCUGCUCUGCUAAGGACUGAUUCUCUGGAGAAAGAAAAUCAGGAAUUACAACAGGAAGUAGUUCGUCUAAAAGCACAGAUAAGUUCACUCAAAGCACACGACAAUGAGAGAAAAUCCAUGCUUUGGAAGAAGUUACAGAACCCCAUUGACAGCAGCAAAACUGAUGUAUUUCUGCAGAAACAAUCAGAUUUUGUCAAAGUGAGUGAGGAACAUUCAAGUCCAAGACCGAGCAUACAGGAAUUACCAUCAAGAAAAGAGAAACUGGCAAAAGUACCAAAUCCACCACCAAGGCCUACUUCUGUAGCCCCUUCAUCACCCAAGGAAGUGAACAGCAAUAAAUUGUCACCAGCACCAGCACCAGCACCACCACCUCCACCUCCGCCACCGAAGAUGUCUG